AUUAUAUGGUUUGUGAUGACGUACUGAAUAAAUACUGUCAGUUAGGACAUGGGCCUGUCCAAGGAUAGAAAUGUUCUCUAGCUACCAAGUACUUAGAAGUACAGCUUGUAAAAUAGGAACUGGCUUUUAAAAAUUUUGUUGUCUUAUUGUUCCCUAUAACUAGCAGCUCUUACACCUACUGUUAUAGGAAGUACACGUAUGUGUCAUCCUUGAACCUGAAGGCAGCACCUUUUUAAAA
rnacentral:lncRNA from 1 species